AAGGAAGGCCUGUCAAACUCUGGUCUUGUCUUGUUUGUGGAGAGGGAUGAAUCUGGCCAUCUUGUGUGUUUAUGGAGAAGACCAAAAGCUGCAAAGGCAAACAUUUCCAAUGAAACAGAGAGUUUGCAUGAUGGCCUUUUUCAGUUCAGGGUCAGCAAGUUCUUGUCAUGAUGAGCCCUCGCCAGCCAAAAUGGAAGACCAAAAACACAAAGAAAAUAAAUCACAGCAAGCUCCAGUCAAACCAGUCCUGUUGGGAAUGAGGAAUAAACAUGGUCUUCUUGUGCCCAAACAAAAAAGACAGAGAGCUGAAAAUUUUGACAUUUCCAUUGGGAGGAUGAAGCCAGUUGAUGAAGAUAUCAUUUCAAUGGCCACCAAGUGCUGCAUUGCUGCCUGAACCCAUCAGGUAUCUGCUGUGAAGACUGCAUUCAAGAACAGCUCUACUGCGACAGCGCAGAUGUUACAGCCUAUAAAAGAAACUUCACAACUGAACAACUGCAAGAUAGUUGUGGAGGGAAUUUUUUGGCCCAUACCUCCAACAAGAAUCAAUGACAUCUACACCAGGUGGUGUGUGAGGAAAGCACAGAGGACCAUCAGAGACUCCAGCCACCCGAACCAUGGACUGCUUUCACCGUUACCAUGAGCAGUACCCGCACCAGCAGAUUGCGAGACAAGUUUUUUCCACAAGCAAUCAGACUGAACCAAACUCGUGCCAGUAACACCACACACCCCCCACCAACCUCAUAUGUACUGCACUCUAUCACUUACACUGACUGGACUCUGACUCACUAUUAUUCUGCAC